AUCGGCUACAUGGCGUGCUCCUGAGGCUGGGCCACCGCGUCGCCUCCCCGCGGUGAGGUCUCCAGCCCGCCCCAGAAGCUGAGAUUUCUCCUGAGCGAGGGCCUAUCCCAGGUGGUGUCUUCCAUGCAGGCUGAAGGAAACAGGAGAGCCCGAAAGGACACCUUGCCUUCCCUCCCCUGGGUCUGAGCACUCACGGGGGGACACUGCGCCAGCUUCUCCGAGGCUGCUAUUUGGACGUUGAGGUGUUUGGAUUGAGACUUCCCUCGGGACUUAAUGAGCCUCUGCAGUACCUGGUUGGAGGGGAAGAAGGGCUAGAAGGACAUGGGUAAUGACCCAAGUCUAAAAGGCAGAUUCUGCUUGGAGCCAGUGGGAAAUCAGAGUCAGAGCCGUGGAAUGUUCCAUGAUUCUCUGCCCUGGGCAUCUCUGCCAGAAUGAGCUCACAAGCUCUGUGUCCACUACAGAAGGGUUAGGGUUAGGGCAACACGCAACACCGACAGACAGACAGACAGACACACACACAUACAUACACACACACACACUCACUUUCUCACAUAAUCAUACAAUCAUGCUCACACUCUCACUUUCUCACACACACAUGCACAGACUCACAUACUCACGAGCACAUACUAAAAUAUUCAUGCAACACACUCAUACAUGCAGACACACACACACACACACACACUCAUACAUACUCACACCUUGUCUACAGACUUUAAUCCUCCAGUCUUACUCCCUCUUGUCCAUAUGAACAGUAACAAUCAUUCUUCACGGAGAAACUCCUUCCUGGAUACUAGCCUUGCUCCUUGUGCUCUGGGAUGAGAACUCGCUGUAUCACCCAGGCUGGCAUCCGACAGGCCCUGGGCACCGGUAAUCUGCCACCUCCUGGCUAUUCUGAGAAGCUGUUCUGUGUUUCUUUACAAGAUCAAUUUAGUUGUCGCCAAACUAAAUCCAGCUACGGAGGGACAUCACACCCAUACGGAGAGACAGUCUACAACGUGGUCGGCCCAUACUACUGCAAAACACCAUUGUCAUAAAAAUCUAAAGAAAGCUCAAGAGCUGCUCCAUGUUAAGAAGACUACAUGUGGGGCUGGAGAGAUGGCUCAGUGGUUAAGAGCACUGACUGCUCUUUCAAAGGACCCAGGUUCGAAUCCUAGAACCUACAUGGCAGCUCACGGCUGACUGUAACUCCACUUCCACAUGCAAGCAAGACACUAAUGCAUAUUUUAAAAAAUCAUUCUUUAAAAAAGAGUCGGUGGUGGUGCACACCUUUAAUCCCAGCACUUGGGAGGCAGAGGCAGAUCUCUGAGUUCGAGGCCAGCCUUGUCUACAGAGUGAGUUCCAGGACAGCCAGUGCUACACAGAGAAACCCUGUCUUGAAAAACCUAAAAAAGAAGGAGGAAGAGAAGAAGAAGAAAAGAGGCAGAAGACAUGCAGUAUGAUCCUGGGUAAUGGAAAAUGGUAUCAUAAGGGAGAAUUAUUGGGACAGUUAAAAAAGCUCAAUAUGGUGCUAUAGAGAUAGCUCAGUGGGUAAGAGCAAUGACUACUCUUCCAAAGAUCAUGAGUUCAAAUCCCAGCACCCACAUGGUAGCCCACAACCAUCUGAAAAGAGAUCUGAGUCCUCUUCUGGUGUCUAAAGACAGCUACAGUGUACUUAUAUGUAAUAAAUAAAUAAAUCUUUUUUUAA